GUAAAUGGCUGCAUAAAUCUGAGUGUACUGAGGUAGCGCUAUAAUUUGCCUUUUAAAUGGGGGCUGGUAUGAAUGGGUUCACGCGAGAGUUGCUGUGUCACAAAAAAAUUAUUGAAAUUAACCUUUAGGUGAAGAGGCCUAAGUGUAUUUAAAGGACGACAAGACCCUAGAAGCUUUACUAUUAGUAAAUUAAAGCAUAAUUUAUUUUAGUUUUGUUGGGGCAACAUAGUUAGGAAAUAUAACUGUUUUGCAAAAUAUAACCUACAGGUUAAAACCACGAUAGUGAACAAGAUAAGCUACUCUAGGGAUAACAGCGUUAUUUUUUUUGAUAGUACGUAUUGUAAAAAAAGUUUGCGACCUCGAUGUUGGAUUAAGGUGUCCUUAAGUCGUAAAAGCCUUAAAGGGUUGGCCUGUUCGUCCAUUAAGACCUUACA
rnacentral:rRNA from 1 species